rnacentral:lncRNA from 1 species
ACGCACAACUGUACUCCGAAUGAACACAAAAGCGCGCAUACGCCGAACCCCUCCACGAACACACACAAUACAGAUGAACACACACCCAGCACCGCACGUAGAGGCGCACGCUUAGCAUCCCAACCUCCCAAAACACCAUACGAACCGAGCCUGUUCCAGGACCUUGCAGACCGAGACGCUUCUCGUCCCCCGUGCCCGCAGCCACCCAGGGCGAGAAACCUGGGAGAAAGGGGGUCCCCGGCCCCCGGCUAGGACUCUACCUUCUCGGGGCACGCAGAGGCAGCAGCCGGAGCACUGGACUAGCUGGUGCAGGACAAGGUCCCAUUUAGUAAUCCAUGAUUGGGGGUCUCUCUGAGCGCCGGACUCCGCACUCUCCUCCUUCGCAAUUCUUUGUCAUUCCUACAUGGGGCUUCUUAUCGCGCGGAGGGGAGCGUAGGUGGGCGCUGUGGAAAAGGGUCCUAGUUUCUGGGAAACAGAUAGAAUUUGCUGUUCAUUUCCAAUGAUGGGAGAAAGGGGGAGGGAGGCUGGCAGGGCGGGAAGCCAAAGAAACAAACCCAGAAGCAAAAAGGGGUCAUACAACACUUCUAACGAUCCCGAUCUCACUCCAGUUCCAAGCAGAAGUGCUGCCGCUGCUGCUGCUGCUGCUGCUGCUGCUGCUGCUGACCGUCGGCGGUGUUGACUGUCUCAGAAAAGUCCUAAACGGGCAUCGCUCUGCUGAUCCCAGCCGAAGAGCGCCGCUGCUCCCAGCCCGAAGCGCCUGCUCAUUGGAGUGCGUUCGGGGAGGGGAGUUCAAACAGUCCCCUGCGCUCCGGCUCCGGCUCCCGCUCCGGCGAACGAAGCGUCUUCAGGGUGGGACCAAAUCCCGGACUGGAUCGCCGGCAGGUGGACUCCCCUUCGCGGAACCCUCCUCCCGCCACUCUCGGGUCCGACCGUCCAGAGAGGAGGGAGGGGUGUGUAUGUGUGUGUAUGCGUGUGUUUAUGUGUGCAUGUACAGAGGGAGAAAGGGGGUGGGGGUGGAGAAGGGGCAUGGCAAACGGCUUUGGCUUCCAAUCGGACUUCACGCCCCCCUACACCCACCCAUAGCCCCUAAAGAGGGGGCUUUCUCCCCUCCCGCGCUUGUAAACGGGAUUGGGGGAAGAAAAAAAAAAACAAAAAACGGGGACCCUCUAAGUAUCAGCCUCACUGAUCCCUGCCAAAUUAGAAAAAAAAAGAGAGAGAGAGAAAUAGUCCGGGAGACGAGUUGCAAAAAAGGAUUUGCUGAUCGAUUGUCUCAAAUGGAAAAGUUUUAGAGGAUGAGGGGAAGCUUUCUAAUUCCGAUUACCGUAUCGAGACUCAGUUGCCAAUGUGAUGGGAGUCGCGCAUACCCAGAUGAAUUAAAUAUAAACCGGCUCUAUAAAAAUACAUCUCAAAGACGCGAGUUCAUCGGUUAUAGCUAUUAGUUAUUCAUAGGAAUACAUGUUUAUAAAGCUUGUUAAACAAAGCAUAACAGUACUUUCUUGUUUUUUCCACUGACGCCGAACUGAAGUAACAAUUAAGCCUUAUCCCCUUCUGACCCGGUUCGGUAGCCUGAAAGUUCCGUGUGCAUUCGGUAGCAGAAAUUGGUUUUUGAAAACUGAAAAUAAAGACAGUGCCCGUUAAAAAGGCAAGCUCGGUGGUUAAAGCAGGUUUCAGCCCCUACUCUGUUAUCGGUAUUGUGCUGGGAUGAUCGUUUCGAUCGCUCAGAGAGUAGACGUCAACCUUUUCCGUGUAAACUUUAAAUCGCCAAGAAGGAGCUUCCUUUAACCUAGGGGCCUGUGCCAGCAGGGACGGGGCCAAUAAAUUUCCAGCUCUCCGUUUGCAAAGGACCCCCUCCCACCCCCCAAGCCCUAACUCUUAGCCAGGCAUCUGCCUCGCCUCGUACAGCAUCCCAUACGAUAUGACAUCCGCGCUGGCGUCCCUGCUACGCGCUUGCAGAGACUCGGUGUCCCUUCGGAGGGCCCCGGGACGCUCCAGCCCGUCCAAAAAGUAGCCAUUCUCCCCAGCGGGAGGUAGCGUGUGUUGCGGGGGGAGGGAGGGGAACUAGGGGGAAGAAGUUAAAGGACGAGAGAGGAGAGUCGUAGAUGCCAGAGGACCCACGGCCUCGGGUGGCAAAGGGGGAUGGAAGAAGCAGGAGCGGGAUGUCGGAACCUUUUAAAACUCGGGAGACCCGCUUUUCUUCCCCCCACCCGCGCUAGAUCUGUGCACAUCUGCCUCGAGCAGUGACGGUUCGAUAGGAGCUGCAUUCCCAGCAGCUCACGUUUCGUUUUCUUAGAGAUGAUAGAUAGAUAGAUAGAUAGAUAGAUAGAUAGAUAGAUAGAUAGAUAGAUAGAUAGAUAGAUAGAUAGAUAGAUAGAUAGAUAGAUAGAUAUAGAUGCCACUUGUCAGCUGUGUGACUGUGGGCAAGUCACUUCACUUCUCUGUGCCUCAGUUACCUCAUCUGUAAAAUGGGGAUGAAGACUGUGAGCCCCCACGUGGGACAACCUGAUCACCCUGUAUCUCCCCCAGCGCUUAGAACAGUGCUCUGCACACAGUAAGCGCUUAACGAAUACCGACAUUAUUACGAUCAUAUAGGUAGAGGAGAAAGAGAGGCUUGGAUCGGCGUCGCCGUUCUCGCCGUUUCCCCGAGCGGCCAGCAGGGGUCACCCUUUCCAGCUCUCUAUUCAUCGCUCCCGAGGUUUGCAAGCGGAGCGAGGCGGGU